rnacentral:tRNA from 1 species
UGGGUUAUAGCUCAGCUGCUUAGAGCGCAUGCCUGAUAAGCGUGAGGUCGAUGGUUCGAGUUCAUUUAGCUCCA